AAAGUUUAUGUCAUAGUUAAAUUUCGCCCUAAAAGGCUCUAUGAAAGAAAUCUGGUACCAAAGAAGAUUUUUUGCAUACAAGAUAAAAGUGGAAGAUCUUAUGUGGGAGACUUUAUCGAGAAAAACAUUAGUUCUAAUCAAAAGGGAUAACAAGGACUUGCCUAAUCUUAUGAGUUCAAGAUCCAAUUAAAAAAAACCAAAAAAAAACCAAAAAAAUUAAAAAAUCAAAAUCAAAAUUAAAAAAUAAAAAUGACAAAAAGAA
rnacentral:lncRNA from 1 species